AACGCUGGCGGCAUGCCUUACACAUGCAAGUCGAACGGCAGCACGGGUGCUUGCACCUGGUGGCGAGUGGCGAACGGGUGAGUAAUAUAUCGGAACGUACCUUAUCGUGGGGGAUAACGCAGCGAAAGCUGCGCUAAUACCGCAUACGCCCUGAGGUGGAAAGCAGGGGAUCGCAAGACCUUGCGCUAUACGAGCGGCCGAUGUCAGAUUAGCUAGUUGGUAGGGUAAAGGCCUACCAAGGCGACGAUCUGUAGCGGGUCUGAGAGGAUGAUCCGCCACACUGGGACUGAGACACGGCCCAGACUCCUACGGGAGGCAGCAGUGGGGAAUUUUGGACAAUGGGCGAAAGCCUGAUCCAGCCAUGCCGCGUGAGUGAAGAAGGCCUUCGGGUUGUAAAGCUCUUUCGGCUGGGAAGAAAUCGCACAGGCUAAUACUCUGUGUGGAUGACGGUACCAGCACAAGAAGCACCGGCUAACUACGUG
rnacentral:rRNA from 1 species